GCAUAUCAAUAAGCGGAGGAAAAGAAACUAACAAGGAUUCCCCUAGUAACUGCGAGUGAAGCGGGAACAGCUCAAAUUUAAAAGCCCUCGGGCGUUGUAAUUUAGAGAAGUGUUUUCAGUCGUUGUCCCGGACAAGUCCCUUGGAACAGGGCGUCAGAGAGGGUGAGAAUCCCGUACUUGCCGGACUACCAACGUCUAUGUGAUACACUCUCGAAGAGUCGAGUUGUUUGGGAAUGCAGCUCAAAACGGGUGGUAAACUCCAUCUAAAGCUAAUAUUGGCGAGAGACCGAUAGCGAACAAGUACCGUGAGGGAAAGAUGAAAAGUACUCUGGACAGAGAGUUAAACAGUACGUGAAAUUGUUGAAAGGGAAGCGCUUGAAGUUAGUCGCGUUGCAAGGACUCAGCCGCAAGGUGCACUUCUUUGUAACGGGUCAACAUCAGUUUGGGGCGGCUUAGAAGGGCUCGGGGAAUGUGGCUGCUUGCAGUGUUAUAGCCCUGUGUCGUAUAGGUCGCCCCGGACUGAGGAUCCCCUAGGA
rnacentral:rRNA from 1 species